CCUACGGGUGACAGCAGUGGGGAAUAUUGCACAAUGGGGGAAACCCUGAUGCAGCGAUGCCGCGUGGAGGAAGAAGGUUUUCGGAUUGUAAACUCCUUUUAUCAGGGACGAUAAUGACGGUACCAGAAGAAAAAGCUCCGGCUAAAUACGUGCCAGCAGCCGCGGUAAUACGUAGGGAGCGAGCGUUGUCCGGAAUUAGGGGGUGUAAAGGGAGCGUAGGCGGGACGGCAAGUCAGAUGUGAAAACUGAGGGCUCAACUUUCAGACUGCAUUUGAAACUGCUGUGCUUGAGUGAAGGAGAGGUACGCGGAAUUCCUAGUGUAGCGGUGAAAUGCGUAGAUAUUAGGAGGAACCUCGGUGGCGAAGGCGGCUUACUGGGCCUUUACUGACGCUGAGGCUCGAAAGCGUGGGGAGCGAACAGGAUUAGAUACCCCGGUAGGC
rnacentral:rRNA from 1 species